rnacentral:snRNA from 1 species
AGCUUUGCGCAGUGGCAGUAUCGUAGCCUAUGAGGUUUAUCCGAGGCGCGAUUAUUGCUAGUUGAAAACUUUACCCAAUACCCCGCCUUGACGACUUGAAAAAGUCGGCAAUGGCAAUUUUUGACGGUCUCUAAGGAGA